GUUCAGGCAAGGGACUGGGUGGAGUCUCGCGAGGUGACGAGAGGCAGGACUUUCUCUUUUGGUCCGCCCUAGAUGACUCACUGCCGCAUAAUAAUGAGACAAAAAGACACUCAAACCGAUAAAACGGUUAUUCCACGAUUGGUCGACUUAGACGGUUCUCCGUUUCCUCCUCUACUUUCAUGCUGCUAUGUAUUUGCAAAGUCUGCGCCUACAGCCUAGAGCGUUCUUACCACUUGGUGAUACCGUGAUGGGUAGUGUAAAGAACUUGGACUUUGAGGCUAUACUGACCAGAACGCACCAGUGUGUAUCUUUAGAGACAGUUCCUGGAGAGAGCUCAAGCGCUGGAGUCAAACGGACUUAGACUGGAAUCCUGGCUGUUGGCUCAACCUGUCUGAGCCUCAGUUUUCUGGUCAAUGUCAGUAUCUCACAGCACUACUGGAAUUAAAAUUAACAUAAAACACCUGGCAGAAGAGGUGUUUUAUGUUUGGAAGAGGAUGUGAAGGAACACCUUGACAUUAUUAGGUCGAUAGAAUUUGGCUCCUGGCAUAAAGCAAAUGUUUAAUAAAUAGUAGCUGUUAUUACCAACUGAGAAACAGUCAGCAAUGUACUUGGUCUCUUUGAGCCUUAGUUGCAGAGACUUAAAUGAUGUGAUGUUCAGAGCACCCAGCACAUAGAAGUUUUUUUGUACCUAUUUGUUGAAUCAAUGUCCAGAAACAUUUCUAGAAUCAGUCCUGAACGAGAUUAAUUACCAGCUCUUAAAAACUGUGAAGGCAGGGUCAGUGGCCACAUUUGAAAGUUUUCCCUGGGUGUGGAAACACACCCUCCACUCCCUGGUGUUAGCACAUAGGAGAAAGCCAGUGCUGAGAGAAGACUGUUACUGUGCAGCCCAACCCCUAAUGCCAAGGGUUCAGUGUUCUAAUACCAGCCACACAGAAGACUUUCAAGUUCAGUAAGCAAAACCCUGCAAAGUAAAACGACUGUAAAGGUGAAAUAAGACAUGUUUUUAAAUUUUCUGUCCUUCUAGCAUUACCCAAAGAGGGAGAGAAGAUAAACAACCCUACCUCCAAAAAUUGUUUGACUUGAUUUCUUAGAGGUUUUUUUACUUUUUUUUUUUUUUCAAUCUGUAACUGACACAGUAAAUUUUGACAAGUCAUUUGGCUUUUUUCAAAUGUCUAUUUGAGUAGCUUCACUCCCCUCUGACCUACAAGAAAUACCUAGAAAAGAUUCAUUCUAAAAUGUACGUGUUACUAUACGCAGUACAGGCACUGUGGUAGGCAGAAAAAUGUCCUCCUCCCUCAUCCAUAACUGUCCACGCCCUAGUCCCUGGAACCUGUGAAUAUGUUACAUUCCAUGGCAAAAGGGACUUUGCAAAUUGGAAAUAAGGACUUUAAAAUAGGAAGAGUAUCUGGGUGGGCCCAGUGUAAUCACAUGGACACUUAAAAGCAGAAGAGGAAGGCAGAAGAGAUGUUUUGGAGAGAGAUGAGGCAGAAGAAGAAUUAGAUUGAAAGUUUGAGAGGAACACAACCCACUGGUUUUGAAGGUAGCCACAAGCCACCGAAUGCAGGCAGCCUCUAAAAGCUGAGAACAAGCCCUGCUAACAGCCAGCAAGGAAACGAGGACCUCAGUCUACAACCUCAUGGAACUGAAUUCUGACAAUCUGAAUGAGCUUGGAAACAGAUUACCCCCCAGAGUCUCCAGAAAGGAAUAUAGGCACCUCGAUUUCAGCCUUGUUAGACUUCAAGCAGAGAACCAGCUGAGCCACAGAGUCCAGACACCUGGCCCAUAGCAAAUGUGAGAUGUGUUGUUUUAAGCUACUAAAUCUGUGGUAAUUUCUUACAGCAACACAAGAAAGCUAAUACAGGCACUGUAGAAAUGCCGUUAUUUCUUUCAGCAAACACUACUUAUUCUCAGUUAAGUCAAACCAUGGGGCAAUCCAGAUGUGAAUAUUUCAAGGUCUUUGCCCUUGCAGAAUCAAACAGAAAUUAAUGACAUUAUAGUUAAGUGUGAAAAGAGAGUAUUUUCGGAAGACUGUACAGAUGUGUUGGAAAGUUGGCUUUAAUUAUUAAACCUUAAGGAGAUGCGAUUUUUUUAAAAUUAA